rnacentral:lncRNA from 1 species
CUGUAGAUGAUCGCCGUAAUGCUCGAGGUUCUAAAAUAGCCACGCAAUCGUCUGGUCUCUAUCGGUAUCCACUCGAGCAAGAUCUAGAUCAUCUUCUCCUCGUGAAUCUUUGCUCCAAAAAUCAGAUUUGGAUCUGAUCUGGAAGAUCUUCAAAAGAUCUUCUGAAGCUGGAGCAGCAGCUUCUCGAUAAAUCUCUGCAGCCUUCUAAUCAGAAAGCCACCAC